rnacentral:tRNA from 1 species
AAAGGGAGACCUAAUUCAGGUAGGAGACGAAAAAAAAGUAGUCGCUACCAAGAAUCAAUCCCAAAAGGUCGGAGCGAGGCGAAAUUGGCUUUCAAACUAGGUUCUGGGUUCAAACAAGACCUGAAUCAGGAGCAAGGGCUAUUAGCUCAGGUGGUUAGAGCGCACCCCUGAUAAGGGUGAGGUCCCUGGUUCGAGUCCAGGAUGGCCCACCUGCACAGGUGGCGAAAACAAGAGAAGCUCGGAAUCAGCACCUUAUCUUACUGACAUAGUAAGAGAGAAUGCUGGCUCUGAGUAAAGAGUCCAGAGGAACCUUGAAAACUGCAUAGAGCUAGGUGAAAAAGCCAAAAAAGAAGACCGCAAG